rnacentral:rRNA from 1 species
GGGUGCUCGAGUGGCGAACGGGUGAGUAACACGUGAGUAACCUGCCCUUGACUUUGGGAUAACUUCAGGAAACUGGGGCUAAUACCGGAUAGGAGCCAUCUUUAGUGUGGUGGUUGGAAAGUUUUUCGGUGUAGGAUGAGCUCGCGGCCUAUCAGCUUGUUGGUGGGGUAGUGGCUUACCAAGGCUUUGACGGGUAGCCGGCCUGAGAGGGUGACCGGCCACAUUGGGACUGAGAUACGGCCCAG